rnacentral:rRNA from 1 species
AUUGAACGCUGGCGGCAGGCCUAACACAUGCAAGUCGAACGAGUGGCGGACGGGUGAGUAAUGUCUGGGAAACUGCCUGAUGGAGGGGGAUAACUACUGGAAACGGUCGCUAAUACCGCAUACUAUCAGCUGUGCCCAGAUGGGAUUAGCUCGUUGGUGGGGUAACGUAUCACCAAGGCGACGAUCCCUAGCUGGUCUGAGAGGAUGACCAGCCAAACUGGAACGGAGACACGGUCCAGACGCCUACGGGAGGCAGCAGUGGGGAAUAUGGCACAAUGGGCGCAAGCCUGAUGCAGCCAUGCCGCGGGUAUGAAGAAGGCCUUCGGGUUGUAAAGUACUGUCAGCGGGGAGGCGUUACCAGCAGAAGAAGCACCGGCUAACUCCGUGCCAGCAGCCGCGGUAAUUC